CUGGCACUGGCGAGCCAUGGCUGGGAUUGUCUAUUUCACCCUCUUCUCGCUCCUCUGGGGGAUCUGCGGCGCUGUCACCGGCUCUCGAGUGUAUCCGGCUAAUGAAGUUACCCUAUUGGAUUCCAGAUCAGUUCAGGGGGAACUUGGGUGGAUAGCAAGUCCUUUGGAAGGAGGGUGGGAGGAAGUAAGCAUUAUGGAUGAGAAAAACACUCCAAUCCGCACCUAUCAAGUCUGCAAUGUGAUGGAGCCGAGUCAGAACAACUGGUUACGAACUGACUGGAUUCCCCGUGAGGGGGCUCAGAGAGUAUAUAUUGAAAUUAAAUUCACAUUGAGAGACUGCAACAGUCUGCCAGGUGUCAUGGGAACUUGCAAAGAAACUUUUAACCUUUACUACUAUGAAUCAAACAAUGAUAAGGAGCGUUAUAUCCGUGAGAGCCAGUUUGCCAAGAUCGACACCAUUGCUGCUGAUGAGAGCUUCACUCAGGUGGACAUCGGUGACAGGAUCAUGAAGCUGAACACAGAGAUACGUGAUGUGGGCCCAUUGAGCAAGAAGGGGUUUUACCUGGCUUUUCAGGAUGUAGGUGCCUGCAUCGCCUUGGUGUCUGUCCGUGUUUUCUACAAGAAGUGCCCAUUGACGGUACGCAACCUGGCUCAGUUUCCAGACACCAUUACUGGGGCUGAUACGUCCUCUCUAGUGGAAGUUCGAGGCUCCUGUGUGAACAACUCAGAAGAGAAGGAUGUGCCAAAAAUGUACUGUGGGGCAGAUGGCGAAUGGCUGGUACCCAUUGGCAACUGUCUGUGCAAUGCUGGCUAUGAUGAGCACAAUGGAGAAUGCCAAGCUUGCAAAAUAGGAUACUACAAGGCUCUCUCCACAGAUGUUUCCUGUGCCAAAUGCCCAUCCCACAGCUACUCCAUCUGGGAAGGCUCUACCUCCUGCACCUGUGAUCGGGGCUUUUUCCGAGCCGAAAAUGAUGCUGCCUCCAUGCCCUGCACUCGCCCUCCGUCCGCUCCCCUGAACCUGAUUUCCAAUGUCAAUGAGACAUCAGUGAACUUGGAGUGGAGCGCCCCUCAGAACAGUGGUGGGCGCGACGACAUCUCCUACAACGUGGUGUGCAAGAGAUGUGGAGCUGGCGACCCCAACCGCUGUCGGUCAUGUGGCAGCGGUGUGCACUUCAGCCCCCAGCAGAACGGCUUGAAAACCACCAAGGUCUCUAUUACUGACCUUCUGGCCCACGCUAACUACACCUUUGAAAUCUGGGCAGUGAACGGGGUGUCCAAGCAAAACCCCAGCCAGGACCAGGCUGUCUCAGUCACUGUGACGACUAACCAAGCAGCUCCGUCUCCAAUUGCUUUGAUCCAGGCUAAAGAAAUAACAAGGCACAGCGUUGCAUUGGCCUGGCUGGAACCUGACAGGCCGAAUGGAGUCAUCUUGGAAUAUGAAGUCAAAUAUUAUGAGAAGGACCAAAAUGAGCGCAGCUAUCGCAUUGUGAAGACAGCUGUCAGGAACACAGAUAUCAAAGGCCUGAACCCGUUGACUUCAUACGUGUUUCAUGUGCGAGCCAGGACAGCAGCGGGAUAUGGGGACUUCAGUGGGCCGUUUGAGUUCACGACUAACACAGUUCCUUCCCCCAUCAUUGGUGAUGGUACCAAUCCCACAGUGCUUCUUGUCUCAGUGGCUGGCAGUGUUGUUCUUGUGGUCAUUCUCAUUGCUGCUUUUGUCAUCAGCAGGAGACGCAGUAAGUACAGUAAGGCUAAGCAAGAGGCAGAUGAGGAGAAACAUUUGAAUCAAGGUGUGAGAACAUAUGUGGAUCCUUUUACAUAUGAGGAUCCAAACCAAGCUGUGCGGGAAUUUGCCAAAGAAAUCGAUGCCUCCUGUAUAAAGAUUGAAAAAGUCAUAGGUGUGGGUGAAUUUGGUGAAGUGUGCAGUGGACGUCUCAAAGUACCAGGAAAGAGAGAGAUCUGUGUUGCUAUCAAGACUCUGAAAGCUGGGUACACUGACAAACAGAGGAGGGACUUUUUAAGUGAAGCCAGCAUCAUGGGACAAUUUGACCAUCCCAACAUCAUCCAUUUGGAAGGCGUAGUUACCAAAUGUAAACCGGUAAUGAUCAUAACUGAGUACAUGGAGAAUGGCUCCUUGGAUGCCUUCCUCAGGAAAAAUGAUGGCAGAUUUACAGUAAUUCAGUUGGUGGGAAUGCUUCGUGGCAUUGGCUCUGGAAUGAAGUAUCUGUCUGACAUGAGCUAUGUGCAUCGGGAUCUAGCUGCCCGAAAUAUAUUAGUCAACAGCAACUUGGUCUGCAAGGUGUCUGACUUUGGCAUGUCCCGUGUCCUGGAAGAUGAUCCUGAAGCAGCCUAUACUACUAGGGGUGGCAAAAUUCCUAUCAGGUGGACUGCACCAGAAGCAAUUGCUUAUCGUAAAUUUACAUCAGCUAGUGAUGUGUGGAGCUAUGGCAUUGUAAUGUGGGAAGUGAUGUCCUAUGGAGAGAGACCUUACUGGGAUAUGUCCAAUCAAGAUGUUAUUAAAGCCAUUGAGGAAGGGUAUCGCCUGCCACCCCCAAUGGACUGCCCCAUCGCUCUCCAUCAGCUGAUGCUGGACUGCUGGCAGAAGGAACGCAGCGACAGGCCUAAAUUUGGACAGAUUGUCAACAUGCUGGACAAACUCAUCCGCAACCCCAACAGCUUGAAGAGGACAGGCACCGAGAACUCCAGGCCAAACACUGCCCUGUUGGAUCCGAGUUCUCCGGAAUUCUCAGCCGUCGUUUCUGUUGGGGAUUGGCUUCAGGCCAUUAAAAUGGAUCGAUAUAAGGAUAACUUCACAGCUGCUGGCUAUACAACCCUAGAGGCUGUGGUACAUAUGAACCAGGAUGAUCUGACGAGAAUUGGGAUUACCACCGUUGCGCACCAGAACAAGAUUUUGAGCAGCGUCCAGGCAAUGCGGACCCAAAUGCAACAGAUGCACGGCAGAAUGGUUCCCGUCUGAGCCAAUACUGAAUAAACUCAAACUCUUGAAAUUAGUUUACCUCAUCCAUGCACUUUAAUUGAAGAACUGCACUUUUUUAACUUCGUCUCCUUGCCCUUUGAAAUAAAGACCUGCAGCAUUGCUUGAUGUACAGAUUGCUGGAACUGUGGGGAGCGGGUCCUACCAAAAUGACAAGCCGUCAUUUUAAACCAGACCUGGAACAAAUUGUUUCUUGGAAUAAUCUUCUGUUGAUCAACGAUAUGUAAAAUACAUGUAUCUAUAUAAAUAUAACGUCACAUUCAAGUUUUGAUGCUGUGUUUGCUGCCAGAUACUGUGCUUAAAAAAUAAUUAUUCUUCCUUCCCCCAAUGACCUGGGGGUUACAACCACAGUAUUUUAUUUGUGGGAUAAACCGUGGUUGUGCAUCUUUCACUGGAACGAAGAAUCUACCCCAGGAUAUUUUCUGCAGACUCAGCGUGUCACUGAUACCGUGCAGAAACCUCAAUGAGAAUAUUGUUUGGCUGAUCAGUGCCUCUCAAUUAGUGAUUUACCCAUUUACAGGGUGAGAUCGGGAAUGACCCACCUUGAGGAUUACUGGACUUCUGGGGGGAUUUGUUAUUGGCUGUUGUUGUGCCAUACUGAGUUGUAAAUCUGUAAAUCUUUUGCAAACAUCUUACUGACAGUCAGCUGUGACAAUCUUGACUGUGAAACUUCCAGACUCACAUCCCUUUCCCCUUUGAAGGAGCAAUCACUCUUGCAACACUGAAAAGGGAAAAUAGAUUCUGCUUCCUUGGCCUCACAGCCUUUCCUAUUGAUCAUAUUGACCGUGGGAGAACAAAAGACCAGACAUGAAGCCUUCCAGAUUCCACAAGCCCUGCUUCACCAGCACUGAUUCUGGGGAACACAGACACUCAAUAAGUGGAAUCAGUCCCUGAAGAGUGGGGACUUUUAAUUUCCCUUUUUGCAUUGAAACAAAACAAAAAGACUCUAAGGUUCAAUAUCUGUUCUCCAGUUGUCAUUUGAAGAAUGUACUGUAUCAAAGCCCUUCAGACUUCUGGGACUUCCCCCCCCUUCUUCCUUCUUACGGUUUUAUUUAUAUAUUUUGAUUCCCUCUUUCCCCCGCACCGUACCCUCUGCAUGUCACUGCUGCAUCUUGUUUGAGUGCAAGUGACAGAGCACUACAGGUAUUACCAUGGACAUCCAGUCAGAUGCCGCGACACAGAACCCAGUUCACGUGAGCUGCCUAUAUACAUUGCUGAAGUGACAUUUUACACAAAAUGUGCCAUUGCAGUGAUAUAAAUAUAUAUAUAUAUUUUUUUUUCUUAGAAUGGGUAACAGACUUCUUAUCUCUUCCAAAUGUACGUGUGUGUGUUUGCGUGCGUCUGCAUCACUGCAUGUGUAGAACUGCCUGUGAAUGUGCCGAAAGUAUCUCUGGAAGCUCUGGAUUCCAUCCAUUGCUAGUCGAAGAGUUACAUGAGAAAGCAGGCCAGUAGAUGAUGUCUGCAACAGUAGCAAGAAAACACACACACACAAAAAGUUUAAAUUUCUGUAUCUGUAAAUGUAUUUUAUAGCUGCCACACUAACCUUAAUGACUGGUUCUGCAGCCUAGAACAGGGACACUUUCACUUAAGUUGUGGAGUGAUGAAUAAUAAGAUCCAUAACGGUGAUAAAGCUUUCCAUCAAUAUCACUUAUUCUUAUCAAGACCUGUUCAUGAUCAAAAACACCAGUUUCUUGAUGAAAAGUUGACAGGCGACAAUGCCUGUAUCCGUCCACUGGUAACCCUGAACUGAACUCUUACGUAGCCUUUUUUAUCUGCAAAAAUAAGAUUUUAAAGACUUGUUGAAUGCAAACAAAUAUAUGCAAUUUUUAUCCAUUCACAGAAGCACAUUGCUCAGUGUGCCAGCUGUGAGAACCGUGUGUCCUGUAGCUGACAGUCAAAUACUUCAUUUUCUCCCAGCAACAGUUAAGGAAAUUAAAUCACAAGAGACAUUUAUGAUUAUGGCUGUUAACAAAAGGGUUUCAAAAGUUUGUCAUGUUCCUAGUCUCCAUAGCCAAAGGAUAGGUGAAACAAGGUAAUUUCUGUGGCCCAAAGACCAGUGCUAACAACCUACCGGUACUAUCUAGAAAAGUUUACUGAGUGUGGAGCGUUCACUGUUUAUUUACUGUAAACUAUCCUUGGAGUGUAGCUGUAUGCUAGAGUCUGGUGAAUGUGCUGCCAUUCCACAUUUUGAAUUUAGCGACAGAUUUGCUCCACCUUUUUUCUGGUUGCAGAGGACUGAUGUCUACUGAGGUAGCACAAUACAGCACAGCAAGCUAUAGCAGGACAAGCAAUCAGUCAAACAUACAUUGGAAAAACCAAGACAAAAUAUGGAUGUUGCCAUGUUAAAAGAGCAUGCCACAUUGAAUGGAGCCAUAAAGAAAUGUCUCAGAGUUACUUCUAUUUCCUCCUUCUCUCCUGGCCCCUUUAUUUUCAUUAUUAAAAUAAUGUUACGUGCUCUCAUGAACCAUAAAUUAAAGAUCAAUAUAGCUGAGAUGCGGGGGAAGCUCAUGUAGUUGUGCUGAAGGCAGAAACCAUACAACACUAUCAAGGAGUCAGGGAGCGGAAGUGUGCAUUGCAAACCCAGCACAUUCAAAUUGCAGUUAAAUGUUUUAAACAGAGCUUGGGUUAAAAAGUAAACAAGUUACUACAGACUUUGCUUCCAUCUUUUCCCCCUUACAGAAGACGUCAUCAACAGAUCUCUCUAGCAUGGUAAGCCUUUGGUAGAAAUUGUUCUGCUCACCACACCACCAGUUGAUGUUCGUCCAGGUUUCUUGCUGUACUAACUUUGUGAUGGAUCUGUGUAUUUAAAAAUGUAUUAAAAAAAAAAAAGGCUGGUACUUAACCAGUAAACAGGACUUAAAAAGCAGUAUUUUUCUUUUAUGUGACAUUUUCAUAACCAGAAAAAAAAAUCCUGAAUACUAAUCAAAGAAAUAAAGAGAGUGCAUUUAUUUUUUUGUAUCACUGCAAGUAUGUUGGAAUAUGCAAGGACUGUGGUUAAAAGUAGAAUGUAUGAGGCAUAUUAUAAUUUAGUUCAUACUGAGAAAAAGAUUCUAACAGCAUUUUUUGGUUCAUGAAUUUGAACAGUCUCUGGGUUAGACAUAGAUUUUCUAUUUUAAUUUGUAAUUCCCCCACACACCCCCUCCAUGAAUUUUAGGUACACAUAACUUAUGUCAUUUAUUUAUGGUCUUUUAUACCUAGUUUGUAAAAUUGUAAAAUAGCAAACAAUGCAAAAGUUUGCAUUUGAAAACAAUAAAGUAGUUGCUGUACAAACUUCAAA